UACGAAGGGAGCUAGCGUUGUUCGGAAUCACUGGGCGUAAAGCGCACGUAGGCGGACUUGUCAGUCAGGGGUGAAAUCCCGGGGCUCAACCUCGGAACUGCCUUUGAUACUGCAAAUCUCGAGUCCGAUAGAGGUGGGUGGAAUUCCUAGUGUAGAGGUGAAAUUCGUAGAUAUUAGGAAGAACACCGGUGGCGAAGGCGGCCCACUGGAUCGGUACUGACGCUGAGGUGCGAAAGCGUGGGGAGCAAACAGG
rnacentral:rRNA from 1 species